rnacentral:miRNA from 1 species
GUUCCCUAAUCCAGUCCUCAUGGACCACCAACAUUCCAGAUUUUGUCAGUAUUUAUAUUGGAAUAAAACAGGAAAAUACAUACAUCCUGGACUGUUGGUGGUCCCUGAGGACUGGGUUGGGGUA